AACAGGAUACAGUCCUCACACUCAAUGGGC
rnacentral:piRNA from 1 species